rnacentral:rRNA from 1 species
GACAGAGGGUGCAAGCGUUGUUCGGAUUUACUGGGCGUAAAGGGCGCGUAGGCGGUCAGCACAAGUCAGUUGUGAAAUCUCCGGGCUUAACUCGGAAAGGUCAACUGAUACUGUGCGACUAGAGUGCAGAAGGGGCAACUGGAAUUCUCGGUGUAGCGGUGAAAUGCGUAGAUAUCGAGAGGAACACCUGCGGCGAAGGCGGGUUGCUGGGCUGACACUGACGCUGAUGCGCGAAAGCCAGGGGAGCGAACGGG